GUGAGGAAUAUUGGUCAAUGGACGAGAGUCUGAACCAGCCAAGUAGCGUGAAGGAUGACUGCCCUAUGGGUUGUAAACUUCUUUUAUACGGGAAUAAAGUUAGGCACGUGUGCCUUUUUGUAUGUACCGUAUGAAUAAGGAUCGGCUAACUCCGUGCCAGCAGCCGCGGUAAUACGGAGGAUCCGAGCGUUAUCCGGAUUUAUUGGGUUUAAAGGGAGCGUAGGCGGAUGCUUAAGUCAGUUGUGAAAGUUUGCGGCUCAACCGUAAAAUUGCAGUUGAUACUGGGUGUCUUGAGUACAGUAGAGGCAGGCGGAAUUCGUGGUGUAGCGGUGAAAUGCUUAGAUAUCACGAAGAACUCCGAUUGCGAAGGCAGCUUGCUGGACUGUAACUGACGCUGAUGCUCGAAAGUGUGGGUAUCAAACAGG
rnacentral:rRNA from 1 species